CCUACGGGGGGCUGCAGUGGGGAAUCUUGCGCAAUGCGCGAAAGCGUGACGCAGCAACGCCGCGUGGGGGAAGAAGGCCUUCGGGUUGUAAACCUCUUUCAGUUGGGACGAAGCUUCGGCGGUGAAUAGCCGCCUGGAGUGACGGUACCUUCACAAGAAGCCCCGGCUAACUACGUGCCAGCAGCCGCGGUAAUACGUAGGGGGCAAGCGUUGUCCGGAGUCAUUGGGGGUAGAGCGCGUGUACGCGUCUGAAAGUCCAAGGCUCAACCUUGGGAUGCGGGUGGAUACUGCCGGGCUCGAGUCCGGAAGAGGCGAGUGGAAUUCCUGGUGUAGCGGUGAAAUGCGCAGAUAUCAGGAGGAACACCGAUGGCGAAGGCAGCUCGCUGGGACGUGACUGACGCUGAGACGCGAAAGCGUGGGGAGCAAACAGGAUUAGAUACCCGAGUAGUC
rnacentral:rRNA from 1 species